rnacentral:misc_RNA from 1 species
GCAAAACCUUCUCUUGUCCCUUCUGCACACAAAUAAGCAGAACCUUCUCCUUGCGUCCCAUCGCCGCCUCAGUAGAAGAUUUCAGCGUCUUUAAAGCCUUAAUGGCUCUCAGUAUACAUGUAGAUGAAGAAGGAAGGUUGGAGCGGAGAAGCAAGCUGCUACAAGAAUUGAUGAUAGCAGCAGAAGGAAAGCCAGAAUUGGAACAAUACGCGCAACCUUGGUUCAUAGAUCAAGAAUUAUAUAAAGCAGUAAAGGAAGGCAAUGCAGACAACUUCCUUGAAGCCUUGGCAACAGUUUCAAAAAAUCUAUCUCUGCAGUCCAUCUUUAAUCAAGCAGGCCCCUCGCAGAAUUCAUUGCUUCAUUUGGCGGUAAAUUUCAAAAAAGAAGAUAUUGCAGAACUCAUUGCCCGCCAUUUUCCAAAACUUAUUUCCAGGCAGGAUAUGAAAGGCAAUACGGCUCUGCAUUUUGCUGCUAGAAUGGGAAUUCUGAAGACCGUAGAAAUUCUUGUAAGGUGUGCAAAUGAAUUAUCUACUGCAGAUGUUUCAAGCUCAUCUUCCUCUACACCCAAGAAUGACCCAAAUAAGAAUCUAGAAACAAGCAGGACUAAAAAUCGAUUAGCGAUGAUGAAGAAUAAGCUUGGAAACACUGCUUUGCACGAGGCUGUGAUUAAUGAUCACUAUGAAGUGGCUCGAUUCUUGAUUCUUGAAGAUCAAGAAGUGUGGUAUUUUGAAAACGAGGAAGGCUGGUCACCAGUGUGUAUGGCAAUCAAAAUUGGAAACCAGAAGAUUCUUGGUUUACUAUUGGAAUUGCAACCUCCAGCAACCCGUUGUGGCGAUGUACUCUCAAGGCUACAGGGAAACUCACCAGCUCAUGUUGCCAUAAAUGAAAAAAGAUUAGAUAUGUUGAAAGAGAUGGCGAAAGCAAAUCCUCGACUUAUGCAGUUCAAAGAUGCAAAUGGGGGAACUCCUCUUCACUGGGCGGCAUACAGAGGUGAUCUUGACGCAAUUGGCUUCCUUUUAAGUGUAUCUAGAUCAAUCAUCUUUGAAAAAGAUAAUGAUGGCUUCUUUCCAAUUCACAUUGCAUCCAAAGAAGGUAAUGUUAAGGUAAUCGAAAUGCUGGUUGAGUGCUGGCCUGAUCCAGAAGAGCUGCUCACAACAAAAGGUAGAAAUAUUCUUCAUAUAGCGGCCAUGUAUGGAAAAGAUAACGUGGUGAGAUGCAUAUUGGCAACUCCUAAACUGAGGAAGCUUGUGAAUGAGAGAGACUUCAAUGGAGACACUCCAUUACAUUUGGCAGCAGGUUACUGUCAUCCUGGAGUUGCGCUUUCUCUCACUCGCCACAAAGGAAUCAACUUGAAUGCUCUCAACAAUGAAAUGUUAACUCCUUUGGAUGUUUAUUGCAAGUACAAGGAAAUCUCCGUUUUCGAAGAGAUAAAAUUGCAAAUCAACAUAACAUCCAUUUCUUUAACUUCAGCUGGGUGUGAAAGAAAUUUGGAUUUAGAGACACACAAGGAAAAGCGUAUUGCUUCCACGCUGCCAAACCCAACUAAAAUUCAAUGGAUGAAGGACUAUGUUGGAGCUCUGUUAACGGCAGGAACACUUGUGGCCACAGGCACCUUUACUGCUGGAUUCGCCUUGCCUGGUGGUUAUAAUAGCCCUGAUAAUAACCCAAACAAAGGAACAGCAACAAUGAUAAACAAUCACAUGUUUCAAUUGUUCAUGAUUUGCAACACCGCCUCUUUCUAUUGCUCCAUCAUCUGCAUUUUGUUCUGUUUUUAUGCAUUGCUCGGUGAUAUCGCUGUGCCUGUAAAGGCUUUUAUAAAUGCACAAAGACUUUUCGGAGUAGCUCUUUUGAUGAUGUCUCUGGCGUUCAUGGCUGCAUUACAUGUAGUAUCAGGCAAACUUUCUUCGCUGUCCUCUCUCCUUCUUAUCAUGGGAACCAUCGCUCUUGCCGUAGUUUUUUGGGACUCCACAACAAAUUUGGUUCCACUUGACAGGAAUCUGCCUCUGCUGCGUUCUGCCUCCUACUACAUCUGUCGAAUACUGGUUUUCGUAUAUUUGAGAUACUAUGAUUCUGAACCUCCUGCUUACUUAUCAGAAGAAUCCGGCAGCGACAAUAAGAAUGAAAAAUCCAAGGACAUGGAUCAAAAGGAAUCCGUAAAACAUGUAGGAAUUGAAGAAUAAUUUGUUUAAUUAGUAUGUGUGGAAAGCCUUCUAGAAAUUAUUAUAUCAGCAGGUACUAUGAGAUUGUUUGCACUACUUAAUUAAGUGUGUAAGAGUGUCAUCUACAUGUGUGAUGUAUUUAAUUUUAUAUAAUGAAUUAAUUUUCUUUCUAAUUA